CAGGAACCCCCCCUGGGGCUGCCCCCACCCCUGGGCCCGGGGCUGCUGGAGCUGCAGCAGCGCUGCUGGGAGAGCUGGAGCCUCUGGGCAGAGGUGACACACCUGAGGAACAGGUUCGCCCUGGACUGGCAGCCGGAGUUGGGGCUCCUGCAGGUCCUGGGGGGCCCCCGGGAUGCCCAGACCCUCUGGACGCUGGAGCUGGAGCCGGGGUACCCCCAGAGCGGGGGGGUGCGACUGCUGCCCCCCCCCAAAGGGGGCCCCCCCCAUCCCUGCACCCCCAGACCCCCCCACUCUGACACGGUGGCUGGAGCUACUGGUGGGGGGGGUCCCUGAAAACGGGGGAUCCCCCUCUAUCCCCCCCCAGUAAAAAGCCCCACUGCACCCCAAUAAACUCACGGCCACCGUUUCUCCAGCUCU